rnacentral:misc_RNA from 1 species
UGUAGGAGUGAGCCUGCUCGCGAUGGCGGCGUGUCAGUAACGUAAAUGUCGACUGACACACCGCUAUCGCGAGCAGGCUCACUCCUACA